UCUUAGCUUGCUAAGGCCGAUGGCGACCGGCGCACGGGUGAGUAACACGUAUCCACCCUUACGGCGACUCUUGGACAGCCUUCUGAAAGGAAGAUUACUACAAGAUGGCAUCAUGAGUUCACAUGUUCACAUGAUUAAAGGUAUUCCGGUAGACGAUGGGGAUGCGUUCCAUUAGAUAGUAGGCGGGGUAACGGCCCACCUAGUCUUCGAUGGAUAGGGGUUCUGAGAGGAAGGUCCCCCACAUUGGAACUGAGACACGGUCCAAACUCCUACGGGAGGCAGCAGUGAGGAAUAUUGGUCAAUGGGCGCAGGCCUGAACCAGCCAAGUAGCGUGAAGGAUGACUGCCCUAUGGGUUGUAAACUUCUUUUAUAAAGGAAUAAAGUCGGGUAUGUAUACCCGUUUGCAUGUACUUUAUGAAUAAGGAUCGGCUAACUCCGUGCCAGCAGCCGCGGUAAUACGGAGGAUCCGAGCGUUAUCCGGAUUUAUUGGGUUUAAAGGGAGCGUAGAUGGAUGUUUAAGUCAGUUGUGAAAGUUUGCGGCUCAACCGUAAAAUUGCAGUUGAUACUGGAUAUCUUGAGUGCAGUUGAGGCAGGCGGAAUUCGUGGUGUAGCGGUGAAAUGCUUAGAUAUCACGAAGAACUCCGAUUG
rnacentral:rRNA from 1 species